rnacentral:rRNA from 1 species
GAGUUAGCGGCGGACGGGUGAGUAACACGUAGGUAACCUGCCCCUUAGACUGGGAUAACUCCGGGAAACCGGAGCUAAUACGGGAUAAUAAAGAGAAUCGCCUGAUUUUCUUUUGAAAGACGGCGUCUAGCUGUCACUAAGGGAUGGACCUGCGGCGCAUUAGCUAGUUGGUAAGGUAACGGCUUACCAAGGCGACGAUGCGUAGCCGACCUGAGAGGGUGAUCGGCCACACUGGGACUGAGACACGGCCCAGACUCCUACGGGAGGCAGCAGUAGGGAAUCUUCCGCAAUGGACGAAAGUCUGACGGAGCAACGCCGCGUGAGUGAGGAAGGCCUUCGGGUCGUAAAGCUCUGUUGUGAGGGAAGAACAAGUGCCGGCGUAACUACCGGCACCUUGACGGUACCUCACCAGAAAGCCACGGCUAACUACGUGCCAGCAGCCGCGGUAAUACGUAGGUGGCAAGCGUUGUCCGGAAUUAUUGGGCGUAAAGCGCGCGCAGGCGGCUUCUUAAGUCUGAUGUGAAAUCUCGGGGCUCAACCCCGAGCGGCCAUUGGAAACUGGGGAGCUUGAGUGCAGAAGAGGAGAGUGGAAUUCCACGUGUAGCGGUGAAAUGCGUAGAUAUGUGGAGGAACACCAGUGGCGAAGGCGACUCUCUGGUCUGUAACU